rnacentral:tRNA from 2 species
GGGCGCGUAGCUCAGUUGGACAGAGCGUCGGACUUCUAAUCCGAUGGCCGCGGGUUCGAAUCCCGUCGCGCCCG